rnacentral:rRNA from 1 species
CUCUAGGUAUAGUCUGGAACUUAUGAGAAAGUAGUUUUAUCAGGUAAAGCGAAUGAUUAGAGGCUUUGGGGAAGAAACUUCCUACGACCUAUUCUCAAAACUUUAAAUAGGUAAGAUUUGGAGGAUACUUAGGUGAUCUUUCAAUACAUUGAAUAUCAAGUUCUUAGUGGGCCAUUUUUGGUAAGCAGAACUGGCGAUGUGGGAUGAACCGAACGUUAAGUUAAAGUGCCAAAUAGUACGCUCAUGAGAUACCAUAAAAGGUGUUGGUUCAUUUUGACAGCAGGACGGUGGCCAUGGAAGUCGGAACCCGCUAAGGAGUGUGUAACAACUCACCUGCCGAAUGAACUAGCCCUGAAAAUGGAUGGCGCUUAAGCGUAUAACUUAUACUUAACCCUUACUUGAAUUAUUAUAACGAGUAAGGAGUAGGAGGGCGUAAAGUUUCUAUUAUAUUGGCUGUUAAGCAUCUAAGCGUAAGCUUAUGUGGAGCAAACUUUAGUGUAGAUCUUGGUGGUAGUAGCAAAUAUUCAAAUGAGAA